rnacentral:lncRNA from 1 species
AACCAUUCAAUGGAUUAGUCAACUAUUCGCUACUGCUACGAAGCAUAUACACCUCUCUAUUAUCACUACCUGGACUCUCUGGACUUCUAGAAACAAGCUAAUUCAUGAGGGCAUUUAUCUGCCUACUCAAUCAAUACUUAUCACUAUUCUGGGUUAUCUACAGGAGCUAGAUUCCCUCUUGUUUCCUAGAGAGGAUAUUGUGACUUGUUGGCUUGUCGCUCUGGAAGACCCUUGUAGACCCAUGGGCUCGCGUAAACUUUGACGCAGGGUUCUUCGCUGAUUUGCGGGCUACCAGCACGGAGAUAGUUAUUAGAAAUUCUAAAGGGCUGUUUUUAGGCCCAGCUUGCUUCUGGGAAGAAAACAUACCAUGUCCCUUGUCGGCAGAAGCUCUCGCAUGUGUGUGAGCCAUCAGAUUUGCCCGAGAUCUUGGCUUCUAUUGGGUUGAGAUUGAGGGUGACUCGGAGGUGCUUCUCUCCAAGCUUCAAAGUGUGGCCACUGGUCGGUCGACGGUGAGUGCUUAUGUUUAGGAUGCGAAGAGACUUGUUUUGGGCUUCGAGCGUUUCAAGUUCCAGCACAUAAAACGGGGAGGGGAAUAUAGUUGCCCAUCUUCUGGCCCAUCUUCUGGCCCAUAUUCUGGCCCAUAAGGGUUUUCUUCGACGACGGGAUGUUAUAUGGAUGGAGGACGGAUCGGAGUCUGUUCUGGGGUGGGUGUUAAAGAGAUCGUUGGGAAGGUGCCUGAUUUUGAUGGGGGGUCUUCCUCGAGUUGUGUUUCGGCCAAAUCUGUUAUUUACUUUGCAGGCUUUAUUGUGGCUUCAUCGUGGAUCGAAGAUUGUGGGCUGUUUCUGACUGUGGUUUGGCCCUACCGGACAUGCGUGCGCAACUAGGGUUGUUGAAGGGUUUCAACUGCUUGUUUUCUACCUUUCUUUUCUUUGGUUCCUUUUUUAUUUGGCUUUUGUUUAAUUUUUUACCCGUUGGGUUGUUUUGCUUCGUGGGAUGUUUGUUUGUUUGUUUCCAAGUCUUUUCAAUAAUAGUAUGACCGGAUCUUAUUAAAAUGUGGAUAUUAUCUUAUUAAAUGAAAUCCUUUUAAAAAU